rnacentral:rRNA from 1 species
UGGGGAAUUUUGGACAAUGGGCGAAAGCCUGAUCCAGCAAUGCCGCGUGUGUGAAGAAGGCCUUCGGGUUGUAAAGCACUUUUGUCCGGAAAGAAAUCCUUGGCUCUAAUACAGUCGGGGGAUGACGGUACCGGAAGAAUAAGCACCGGCUAACUACGUGCCAGCAGCCGCGGUAAUACGUAGGGUGCAAGCGUUAAUCGGAAUUACUGGGCGUAAAGCGUGCGCAGGCGGUUUGCUAAGACCGAUGUGAAAUCCCCGGGCUCAACCUGGGAACUGCAUUGGUGACUGGCAGGCUAGAGUAUGGCAGAGGGGGGUAGAAUUCCACGUGUAGCAGUGAAAUGCGUAGAAAUGUGGAGGAAUACCGAUGGCGAAGGCAGCCCCCCGUGGGCCAAAUUAACUGACGCAUCAUGCACGAAAGCGUGGGGGAGCAAAACAGGAUUAGAUACCCCUGGUAGUCCACGCCCUAAACGAUGUCAACUAGUUGUUGGGGAUUCAUUUCCUUAGUAACGUAGCUAACGCGUGAAGUUGACCGCCUGGGGAGUACGGUCGCAAGAUUAAAACUCAAAUGAAUUGACGGGGUCAUAGCUGUUUCCU